CCUACGGGAGGCUGCAGUGGGGGAUAUUGGACAAUGGGGGGAACCCUGAUCCAGCGACGCCGCGUGAGUGAAGAAGUAUUUCGGUAUGUAAAGCUCUAUCAGCAGGGAAGAAAAUGACGGUACCUGAUUAAGAAGCACCGGCUAAAUACGGGCCAGCAGCCGCGGUAAUACGGAGGGGGCAAGCGUUAUCCGGAUUUACUGGGUGUAAAGGGGGCGUAGACGGGAGCACAAGUCUGGAGUGAAAUGCCGGGGCUUAACCCCGGAACUGCUUUGGAAACUGGGCAGCUAGAGUGCAGGAGAGGUAAGUGGAAUUCGUAGUGUAGCGGUGAAAUGCGUAGAUAUUAGGAGGAACACCAGUGGCGAAGGCGGCUUACUGGACUGUAACUGACGUUGAGGCUCGAAAGCGUGGGGAGCAAACAGGAUUAGAUACCCUUGUAGUC
rnacentral:rRNA from 1 species